rnacentral:rRNA from 1 species
UUGCUCCGCUGACGAGUGGCGAACGGGUGAGUAAUAUAUCGGAACGUACCCAAGAGUGGGGGAUAACGUAGCGAAAGUUACGCUAAUACCGCAUACGAUCUAUGGAUGAAAGCAGGGGACCUUCGGGCCUUGUGCUCCUGGAGCGGCCGAUAUCUGAUUAGCUAGUUGGUGAGGUAAAGGCUCACCAAGGCGACGAUCAGUAGCUGGUCUGAGAGGACGACCAGCCACACUGGAACUGAGACACGGUCCAGACUCCUACGGGAGGCAGCAGUGGGGAAUUUUGGACAAUGGGCGCAAGCCUGAUCCAGCAAUGCCGCGUGAGUGAAGAAGGCCUUCGGGUUGUAAAGCUCUUUUGUCAGGGAAGAAACGGGAGUGGCUAAUAUCCACGCCUAAUGACGGUACCUGAAGAAUAAGCACCGGCUAACUACGUGCCAGCAGCCGCGGUAAUACGUAGGGUGCAAGCGUUAAUCGGAAUUACUGGGCGUAAAGCGUGCGCAGGCGGUUUUGUAAGUCUGUCGUGAAAUCCCCGGGCUCAACCUGGGAAUUGCGAUGGAGACUGCAAGGCUAGAAUCUGGCAGAGGGGGGUAGAAUUCCACGUGUAGCAGUGAAAUGCGUAGAGAUGUGGAGGAACACCGAUGGCGAAGGCAGCCCCCUGGGUCAAGAUUGACGCUCAUGCACGAAAGCGUGGGGAGCAAACAGGAUUAGAUACCCUGGUAGUCCACGCCCUAAACGAUGUCUACUAGUUGUCGGGUUUUAAUUAACUUGGUAACGCAGCUAACGCGUGAAGUAGACCGCCUGGGGAGUACGGUCGCAAGAUUAAAACUCAAAGGAAUUGACGGGGACCCGCACAAGCGGUGGAUGAUGUGGAUAAUUCGAUGCAACGCGAAAAACCUUACCUACCCUUGACAUGUCAGGAAGGCCGGAGAGAUCUGGUUGUGCCCGAAAGGGAA